CAACAACAUAAAAUUCACUGGAUGGCUCUUUCCCAUCUUGCAAGAUGGCAGGUCAAGAAGCUAAGAAGCCCGAUACUAAAGAGAAGAAACCCAAAGCCAAGAAGGCUGAUGCUGGUGGCAAGAUGACAAAGGGUAACCUCAAAGCUAAAAAGCCCAGGAAGGGGAAGGCCCAUUGCAGCCGCAAUCCUGUCCUCGUCAGAGGAAUUGGCAAGUAUUCUCGAUUCCACGUAUUUCAGAAAGGCCAUGUAAAAGAAAAAGUACCCAGCCACUAAAUCCUAGGUUGAAAAGAAAAAGGAGAAGGUUCUUGCAACUGUGACAAAACCAGUUGGUGGUGACAGGAACGGCAGUGGUUAAACUUCGCAAAAUGUCUAGCUAUCAUCCUACUGAAGAUGUGCCUCAAAAGCUGUUGAGCCACGGCAAAAAACCCUUCAGUCAGCACGUGAGAAAACUUCGAGCCAGCAUUACUCCCGGGGACACUCUGAUCAUCCUCAAUGGACUCCACGGGGGCAACAGGGCAGUUUUCCUAAAGCAGCUGGCUAAUGCGUUGUUACUUGUGACUCCGCCUCUGGUCCUCAAUCAAAUUCCUCUACAAAGAACACACCAGAAAUCGGUCAUUGACACCUCAACCAAAAUUGAUUAUCAGCAAUGUAAAAAUCCCGAAACAUCUUACUGAUGCUUACUUCAAGCAGCCGCAGCUGCGGAAGCCCAGACACCAGGAAGGUGAGAUCUUCAACACAGGAAAAGAGAAAUAUAAGCUCACAAAGCAGAGCAAGAUUGAUCAGAAAGCUGUGGACUCAAAUCUUACCAAAAAUCAAAGCUAUUCCUCAGCUCCAGGGCUACCUGCCAUUUGUGUUUGCCCUGACAAAUGGAAUUUAUCCUCACGAAUUGGUGUUCUAAAUGUCUUAAGAACCUAAUUAAAUAGCUGACUACAAAAAAAAA